CAGGAUGGACCCGCGUCUGAUUAGCUAGUUGGUAAGGUAACGGCUUACCAAGGCGACGAUCAGUAGCCGACCUGAGAGGGUGAUCGGCCACAUUGGAACUGAGACACGGUCCAAACUCCUACGGGAGGCAGCAGUGGGGAAUAUUGCACAAUGGGCGAAAGCCUGAUGCAGCAACGCCGCGUGAGUGAUGAAGGCCUUCGGGUCGUAAAACUCUGUCCUCAAGGAAGAUAAUGACGGUACUUGAGGAGGAAGCCCCGGCUAACUACGUGCCAGCAGCCGCGGUAAUACGUAGGGGGCUAGCGUUAUCCGGAUUUACUGGGCGUAAAGGGUGCGUAGGCGGUCUUUCAAGUCAGGAGUGAAAGGCUACGGCUCAACCGUAGUAAGCUCUUGAAACUGGGAGACUUGAGUGCAGGAGAGGAGAGUGGAAUUCCUAGUGUAGCGGUGAAAUGCGUAGAUAUUAGGAGGAACACCAGUUGCGAAGGCGGCUCUCUGGACUGUAACUGACGCUGAGGCACGAAAGCGUGGGGAGCAAACAGGAUUAGAUACCCUGGUAGUCCACGCUGUAAACGAUGAGUACUAGGUGUCGGGGGUUACCCCCUUCGGUGCCGCAGCUAACGCAUUAAGUACUCCG
rnacentral:rRNA from 1 species